CAUUAAGUGGCUGAAACUUUAAGCAUUGGUCUCUUAAACCAAAUUAUAGUAAAUAAAAAAUACUCUUAAUGACC
rnacentral:tRNA from 1 species